rnacentral:rRNA from 1 species
AACGAACGCUGGCGGCAGGCCUAACACAUGCAAGUCGAGCGAGGACUUCGGUUCUAGCGGCGGACGGGUGAGUAACGCGUGGGAAUGUGCCCUUCUCUACGGAAUAGCCCUGGGAAACUGGGAGUAAUACCGUAUACGCCCUAUUGGGGAAAGAUUUAUCGGAGAAGGAUCAGCCCGCGUUGGAUUAGGUAGUUGGUGGGGUAAUGGCCUACCAAGCCGACGAUCCAUAGCUGGUUUGAGAGGAUGAUCAGCCACACUGGGACUGAGACACGGCCCAGACUCCUACGGGAGGCAGCAGUGGGGAAUCUUAGACAAUGGGGGCAACCCUGAUCUAGCCAUGCCGCGUGAGUGAUGAAGGCCUUAGGGUUGUAAAGCUCUUUCAGCUGGGAAGAUAAUGACGGUACCAACAGAAGAAGCCCCGGCUAACUCCGUG